AUUGAACGCUGGCGGCAUGCCUUACACAUGCAAGUCGAACGGUAACAGGUCUUCGGAUGCUGACGAGUGGCGAACGGGUGAGUAAUACAUCGGAACGUGCCUAGUGGUGGGGGAUAACUACUCGAAAGAGUGGCUAAUACCGCAUGAGAUCUACGGAUGAAAGCAGGGGAUCGCAAGACCUUGUGCUACUAGAGCGGCCGAUGGCAGAUUAGGUAGUUGGUGGGAUAAAAGCUUACCAAGCCGACGAUCUGUAGCUGGUCUGAGAGGACGAUCAGCCACACUGGGACUGAGACACGGCCCAGACUCCUACGGGAGGCAGCAGUGGGGAAUUCUGGACAAUGGGCGCAGGCCUGAUCCAGCAAUGCCGCGUGCAGGAUGAAGGCCUUCGGGUUGUAAACUGCUUUUGUACGGAACGAAAAGCCCUGGGUUAAUACCCUGGGGUCAUGACGGUACCGUAAGAAUAAGCACCGGCUAACUACGUGCCAGCCGCCGCGGUAAAAC
rnacentral:rRNA from 1 species